GGGGCCAUAGCUCAGUUGGAUAGAGCGGCCGCCUCCUAAGCGGCAGGUCGCAGGUUCGAAUCCUGCUGGCCCCACCA
rnacentral:tRNA from 1 species